rnacentral:rRNA from 1 species
UGGGGGAUAUUGCACAAUGGGGGAAACCCUGAUGCAGCGACGCCGCGUGGGUGAAGACGGCCUUCGGGUUGUAAAGCCCUGUUGCAGAGGACGAAACAAAUGACGGUACUCUGUGAGGAAGCCACGGCUAACUACGUGCCAGCAGCCGCGGUAAUACGUAGGUGGCAAGCGUUGUCCGGAAUUACUGGGUGUAAAGGGAGCGUAGGCGGGGAUUUAAGUUAGAUGUGAAAUACCGCAGCUUAACUGCGGGGCUGCAUCUAAGACUGGAUUUCUUGAGUGAAGUAGAGGCAGGCGGAAUUCCUAGUGUAGCGGUGAAAUGCGUAGAUAUUAGGAGGAACACCAGUGGCGAAGGCGGCCUGCUGGGCUUUAACUGACGCUGAGGCUCGAAAGCGUGGGGAGCAAACA